rnacentral:rRNA from 1 species
GAAGCAGCUUGCUGUUUCGCUGACGAGUGGCGGACGGGUGAGUAAUGUCUGGGAAACUGCCUGAUGGAGGGGGAUAACUACUGGAAACGGUAGCUAAUACCGCAUAACGUCGCAAGACCAAAGAGGGGGACCUUCGGGCCUCUUGCCAUCGGAUGUGCCCAGAUGGGAUUAGCUAGUAGGUGGGGUAACGGCUCACCUAGGCGACGAUCCCUAGCUGGUCUGAGAGGAUGACCAGCCACACUGGAACUGAGACACGGUCCAGACUCCUACGGGAGGCAGCAGUGGGGAAUAUUGCACAAUGGGCGCAAGCCUGAUGCAGCCAUGCCGCGUGUAUGAAGAAGGCCUUCGGGUUGUAAAGUACUUUCAGCGGGGAGGAA